rnacentral:rRNA from 1 species
UAAGGAAUAUUGGUCAAUGGACGCAAGUCUGAACCAGCCAUGCCGCGUGGAGGAUGAAGGUCCUCUGGAUUGUAAACUUCUUUUAUCUGGGACGAAACACUUCUUUUCUAAGAGGCCUGACGGUACCAGAUGAAUAAGCACCGGCUAACUCCGUGCCAGCAGCCGCGGUAAUACGGAGGGUGCAAGCGUUAUCCGGAUUCACUGGGUUUAAAGGGUGCGUAGGUGGGUAUGUAAGUCAGUGGUGAAAUCCCCGAGCUUAACUUGGGAACUGCCAUUGAUACUAUAUAACUUGAAUACCGUAGAGGUAAGCGGAAUAUGCCAUGUAGCGGUGAAAUGCUUAGAGAUGACAUGGAACACCAAUUGCGAAGGCAGCUUACUAUGCGGUGAUUGACACUGAGGCACGAAAGCGUGGGGAUCAAACA